rnacentral:rRNA from 1 species
UACGGGGGGGGCAAGCGUUGUUCGGAAUUACUGGGCGUAAAGGGCUCGUAGGCGGCCAACUAAGUCGGAUGUGAAAUCCCCAGGCUUAACCUGGGAACUGCAUCCGAUACUGGAUGGCUUGAAUCCGGGAGAGGGAUGCAGAAUUCCAGGUGUAGCGGUGAAAUGCGUAGAUAUCAGGAGGAACACCGGUGGCGAAAGCGCUCAUCUGGCCCAAUACUGACGCUGAGGCGCGAAAGCGUGGGGAGCAAACAGG